ACAGGGAUGAAGAAAGCUUUCAGCAAGCAAAACUGACCAAAAUCACGCUUCAUCUACCAAUGGUUGCCUGAAACAGUAGUCUAUAUUCAUGGAUCAAGACUUCAUUACUACUUGUUCUCCAGCUCAAAUACAAUCUGCUCCCAUCCUGGCCACUCCUCUGCUUUCAUCAGAGUCACCAAUGUCUUCCAGAUGAUACUUCCAAGUGAUUCACUAAGUACUCUGGAACCUAAGAGACAUUUUCCCAUUAAGAAGAUGUGAUAAGACCAUUAACUAAAGGACAGUGAAGCAGAUUUGGAAAGGAAAAACUACAUUCCCAAAAUAUGCAGACUUUUAUAUACCACAAUCAAUAAUUUUUCUCUUCUGGAAUAGGCAUGUGCAAUUACACCAGUGUUGGACUCCGUGCCCACAACUACUCUACCU